AUUGAACGCUGGCGGCAGGCCUAACACAUGCAAGUCGAACGAGUGGCGGACGGGUGAGUAAUGUUUGGGAAACUGCCUGAUGGAGGGGGAUAACUACUGGAAACGGUAGCUAAUACCGCAUACCAUCAGAUGUGCCCAGAUGGGGUUAGCUAGUAGGUGGGGUAACGGCUCACCUAGGCGACGAUCCCUAGCUGGUCUGCAAGGAUGACCGGCCACACUGGAACUGAGACACGGUCCAGAAUCCUACGGGAGGCAGCGGUGGGAAAUAUUGCACAAUGGGCACAAGCCUGAUGCAGCCAUACCGCGUGUGGGAAGAAGGCCUUCGAGUUGUAAAGCACUUUCAGCGGGGAGGCGUUACCCGCAGAAGAGGCACCGGCUAACUCCGUGCCAGCAGCCGCGGAAAUUC
rnacentral:rRNA from 1 species